rnacentral:rRNA from 1 species
CAGUCGCCGCGGGAAUACGGAGGGUGCAAGCGUUAAUCGGAAUUACUGGGCGUAAAGCGCACGUAGGUGGUUUGUUAAGCUAGCUGUGAAAUCCCCGGGCUCAACCUGGGCACUGCAGUUAGAACUGGCAAGCUAGAGUAGGGUAGAGGGGUGUGGAAUUCCAGGUGUAGCGGUGAAAUGCGUAGAUAUCUGGAGGAACAUCAGUGGCGAAGGCGACACCCUGGACUCAUACUGACACUGAGGUGCGAAAGCGUGGGGAGCAAACAGGAUUAGAUACCCCCGUAGUCCCUGUCUCUUAUAC